rnacentral:tRNA from 1 species
GGUCUUAUGGUCUAAUGGUAAUGACGUCUGACUUUGAAUCAGAAGAUUACGAGUUCAAAUCUCGUUAAGACCU